CGAAAGGCCCUUUUAAGGGCCAUCCAUGUUUUCAACAAAGAGUUGU
rnacentral:ncRNA from 1 species